CAAGUCUUGAAGUGCGCUUUCAAUGUUUUGAAAUAUUGCUUUUAAAUUAGAAAUACAAGAAACCUCCUAUAUAAAUAUCCUAUUUACCUGAUUCCCAUAACUGGAUAAUAAAUGAAAACCUUCAUUAACCCAUAUCUUGCCCUAAAAGUUGAAAAAUUGUCAGUACUGGACAAUGAAUACAACUGUGAACGUAAUCAGAGUUGCUGUAGCAAUUAUUUAAGCUGAAAAAGAUUUCCUAGGGUAUGAAUACAUCUAAUUGAGCUGUAUUUAAAUUCAGUAUGUUUUAUUCUGUUCCAUUAACUCACAGUUUGUAAGCCAAACUUAUAUUUAUUCUACUGCAAAAUUAAUCUUUAGAAAACCAGUACGGCUUUUUCCAGACCAGAACUAUAUAACAGACUACAGAUUGAAGUUUAAUAUACUGUCUUGUUUAUUUUUGUGUGUGUGUUUUUGUUUGUUUGUUUUUUAACCAAGAUUUCAUCUCGUGGAAUGGUUAAAAAAACAUUAUUCAUGGUCUUUUUCAUAUGCCACAUAUUAGAUUCCCUAGUCAAUGUUUUUUCCUAUUAAAAAAAAGAAAAAAAUAAAAAGAAAAAAAAAAAAAACACAUCUCUGAAAAUUGGGACCCUCAAUGUUUUAGGUACAAAACUAGGCUACAUGACAUUCAACAGUGAUGAACAUUUUCAGCUUUUUUGCUGUCACUCAAGGUCUAUUUCUUGUACUAGAACAGACGGGCAGUCUCUUGUUUUACUCUAUCAUAUUUUUGACUCUCCUGUCCUGAAAGCAGGAUAGGAGCUAUUUCAUUACACCUGCAUUGGGUGCUGGCAGUGUUCAGUCCUUAACCCUUCUAUCCAGCAUAUCAGUGAAGGUAGGUUCUGUUCCCUAGCCAGCCUACUUCAAUGCAAGGAGUUUCAUACCCAAAAAGCCUUCAUUUUGAACUCAGUUCCUGGGGCUGACUGAUAGGCAUCUGACUUUCUUGUGGGCACACAGAGCUAUAGGCAGAUUCAGAACAUCAGCUAUUUGUUAUGAUAAAGCUAAACUGAUUUGUUUAAGCCAAUUUGAUUUGUUAGUUAAUUACCAACUUCUGUGUUUUUUUGUUUUUUUGUUUUUUUUUUUUCUUGGAGUUUUGUUCACACUGAGCUGCAGAAACUGCCUACUUACUCAUUUAUCUCUUCCAGUCAGCAACAUAAUGAAUAGCAGCCAACAUCAUUGUAAAGAUGACUGA
rnacentral:lncRNA from 1 species